UACGGGGGGGGCAAGCGUUGUUCGGAAUUACUGGGCGUAAAGGGCUCGUAGGCGGCCAACUAAGUCGGACGUGAAAUCCCCAGGCUCAACCUGGGAACUGCGUCCGAUACUGGAUGGCUUGAAUCCGGGAGAGGGAUGCAGAAUUCCAGGUGUAGCGGUGAAAUUCGUAGAUAUCGGGAGGAACACCAGUGGCGAAGGCGGCGACCUGGACGGACAUUGACGCUGAGACGCGAAAGCGUGGGGAGCAAACAGG
rnacentral:rRNA from 1 species